rnacentral:rRNA from 1 species
CCUACGGGAGGCAGCAGUGGGGAAUAUUGGGCAAUGGGCGCAAGCCUGACCCAGCAACGCCGCGUGAAGGAAGAAGGCUUUCGGGUUGUAAACUUCUUUUGUCAGGGAAGAGUAGAAGACGGUACCUGACGAAUAAGCCACGGCUAACUACGUGCCAGCAGCCGCGGUAAUACGUAGGUGGCAAGCGUUGUCCGGAUUUACUGGGUGUAAAGGGCGUGUAGCCGGGUUGACAAGUCAGAUGUGAAAUCCUGCGGCUUAACCGCAGAACUGCAUUUGAAACUGUUGAUCUUGAGUAAUGGAGAGGCAGAUUGAAUUCCUAGUGUAGCGGUGAAAUGCGUAGAUAUUAGGAGGAACACCAGUGGCGAAGGCGGUCUGCUGGACAGCAACUGACGGGGAGGCGCGAAAGCGUGGGGAGCAAACAGGAUUAGAUACCCCAGUAGUC